GCUUGCUACUGAUCUUAGCGGCGGACGGGUGAGUAAUGCUUAGGAAUCUGCCUAUUAGUGGGGGACAACAUUUCGAAAGGAAUGCUAAUACCGCAUACGUCCUACGGGAGAAAGCAGGGGAUCUUCGGACCUUGCGCUAAUAGAUGAGUCUAAGUCGGAUUAGCUAGUUGGUGGGGUAAAGGCCUACCAAGGCGACGAUCUGUAGCGGGUCUGAGAGGAUGAUCCGCCACACUGGGACUGAGACACGGCCCAGACUCCUACGGGAGGCAGCAGUGGGCAAUAUUGGACAAUGGCCGCAAGCCUGAUCCAGCCAUGCCGCGUGUGUGAAGAAGGCCUUAUGGUUGUAAAGCACUUUAAGCGAGGAGGAGGCUACUUUACUUAAUACCUAGAGAUAGUGGACGUUACUCGCAGAGUAAGCGCCGGCUAACUCUG
rnacentral:rRNA from 1 species